rnacentral:rRNA from 1 species
CAGUAGCCGCGGGAAAACGUAGGGUGCGAGCGUUAAUCGGAAUUACUGGGCAUAAAGCGUGCGCAGGCGGUUAUAUAAGACAGAUGUGAAAUCCCCGGGCUCAACCUGGGACCUGCAUUUGUGACUGUAUAGCUAGAGUACGGUAGAGGGGGAUGGAAUUCCGCGUGUAGCAGUGAAAUGCGUAGAUACGCGGAGGAACACCGAUGGCGAAGGCAAUCCCCUGGACCUGUACUGACGCUCAUGCACGAAAGCGUGGGGAGCAAACAGGAUUAGAUACCCCCGUAGUCCCUGUCUCUUAUAC